rnacentral:tRNA from 1 species
GGUAGAACAACCGUCUAAGGGUGGCAGGACGGCGGCUUCAUAACCCACAGGUCGGCGGUUCGAUCCCGCCUCCAACCACCA